rnacentral:misc_RNA from 1 species
UCCGAGUUGACCCCGGCAGUCUCCUACGAGUCCCCGGCUUUACCCGCUGGCAACAUAGGACAAGGGUUGCGCUCGUUGCGGGACUUAACCCAACAUCUCACGACACGAGCUGACGACAGCCAUGCACCACCUGUACACGAGUAUCAAAGAGACCCCCAUCUCUGGGGGCUUCCCGCGUAUGUCAAACCCAGGUAAGGUUCUUCGCGUUGCAUCGAAUUAAUCCGCAUGCUCCGCCGCUUGUGCGGCCCCCCGUCAAUUCCUUUGAGUUUUAGCCUUGCGGCCGUACUCCCCAGGCGGGGCGCUUAAUGCGUUAGCUACGGCACGGAAUCCGUCGAUAGGACCCCACACCUAGUGCCCAACGUUUACGGCGUGGACUAC